GCCUUUACUAGGUCUGAAAACUCAGGACAUUCCUUGUAACUGCGCUAUGAAAAGUUCACAUCGGACUUUGACCCAGCGGGUAACAGUUGUUAUUUGGAUUAGUGCUCCACUAAGCUGAAGAAAGCACACCUCCUCCUCAAAGCAAUGAAAAUGAGGUUGCGGAUAACUUGGUGAAAGGAUUGGCGACCGGGUUUGGUGUAAUAUGCGGUGUGAUACUAUUUUUCUGCGUCCUCUGGUGCGUGUGUUGUGGGAACUACUGCCAGGAGAACAAGAAGCCGCUCGACAAUCGCCGGAUACUGAGAAAAAUAGGACCGACACCGUCGCCACCUAGAUCAGGAACGACAACUCGCUCUACAGUCCGCUCAUUUCAGUCAUCUUAAGGAAUCGGGUGUUUUCUUUUCUGUCGAAAAUGGAGACGACAAACUGAAGAACAUUGACAGAGAAAAUAGGAGUUUUUAUUCUCUUUCGAGUGUCUUUCAUUCUUGGUUAAUAUGAAGGCCAAAUAGGAGCAGCGAUGUCAGAACCAGCGCCCCUAUGUGCAAUACAAACGAUAUUACAUUUAUGUGCCGAGAUAAGACAGUAUUGUUAAGGACAGGAUACUCAACGCCAUUUUUUUUUUUUUAUAAGGAAAGCUAUAGUCAGAUCAGUGUCAUACGCUAUAAAUCUGCUGCCCGAAGUAAAUGGACAAUAUAUUUCCGAAAAUCGCACGCGUGAAGUGUUUAGGAGGGCGAGUACACGUAAAUAAUUGAGUAAUUUUAGUCCAUUGUAUCUUAUCACAUUCAUUUGACACUAGUCUCAAAAAUUAAGUCUAGCGAAAGAUGGUAUCGUAGGGUAGAAUAAGUAACGUUUUAACGUGCUAGCCAUAGCAAGUCAUUGUAAGGCACACCGACUUGACUACACGUGCUCCAGCCAGAAGUGUAUGCUUAAAUUUGAUGUUGAUAAUAUGCAAAGUGCUCUUUAAAACAGAACGUACGCCAUUGGCAGAAGCCACGUGAUUGCGAAGACGCAGGCGCAGACGCAGCGAGACAAAAUGGUGUAGUGUAAUCCUAUUAAAAAUACAUUGCUAAGACCCAUGACGAAACGGGUUACAAAUCUCAUUCCGUUACGUGUGCCAUAAAUAUCGUACUGUAUAGCUUCGCUCCGGAUUGCUUAUGCUGUGCACCACCUUUAACUUCUGCAUGCCUUGAAUUUUGAAUACAAUUUCUAUGUCAAAAUAUAUUUUGCGCACUAUCGACAGGUUUACGUCGAUGCUAUUUGUAGGAAGUACUGUUACAGACAUGCAAAACCCCAGCAUAGGUUGACAAUGAAACGUUUUGAGGUAUCUACCGUUACGUCACAGCAUCGCUUCAUUUUGCAGUUUUGUACAGUAAGUGGCGGCUCACUAUAGGCACACUUGUUAUAAGUUAGUAAUAACAAUAACUCAAAACCAGUGUCUUAUUUAAAUACUAGUGAUCAGGCUACUUGUAAUAAUAAUAAUAAAAAGGAGAUAUUUGAAAUGGACUGUCAGUAUUUUAUAUUAUACUGAUCGAACGAAAUAAGGGAACACACAUGUAGUAACAGGCUAGCAGCAAAUGCUGAAUUCGAUUAAAACCCUCAUCCAUAAUCCAUAGUGUUAGGAAGCUAUGUUACCGAUAUUCAACCUCAUAUUAGUGACAUUCAGUCACACAUUAUUAAACACAAAAUUAUAUUUCAGAUAAAACUAAGCUAAUAUUGAUGUUUUUUUAUUGACCCAGAAAUGUCGAUAAUGUCAGGGAUGGGGUUCUUAAUCACUAUCAUACAUAUAAUGUUGGACAUUAAUAAUAUUAAAUACGUAUAAUACAUAAAAUGUUUUGUUAGAGUAAAUAUGUUCAGAUUGACUGUACAUUAAUAAUGAAUUAUAUUUAAUAUACAAUUCAAUGUGUUCCUUUAUUUCUUUUCAUCAGUAUAUUUUUUCUAAAGAAGACCUAUUUCCUAUUCAGGACCACUAGUAUGUUGCUAUACAAAGUAAUGACACGGCAAAUGAUGGUGCGUUGCCCUUAGGUUUGGUAAAUGUGUAUCCAGGAGCCUAUUUCACAAAACAUCGUAUGUUUACGUCUGUAACUAGCAGUUAUACCGGUCAUUCAUUUACACGUGUUUGACAUCUAUUUCACGCAGCAA
rnacentral:misc_RNA from 1 species